rnacentral:rRNA from 1 species
GACGAACGCUGGCGGCGUGCUUAACACACGCAAGUCGAGCGGAAAGGCCCUUUCGGGGGUACUCGAGCAGCGAACGGGUGAGUAACACGUGAGUAAUCUGCCCUGGACUCUGGGAUAGCCACCGGAAACGGUGUUUAAUACCGGAUAUGACACCUUGCUGCAUGGUGGGGUGUGGAAAGUUUUUUCGGUCCAGGAUGUGCUCGCGGCCUAUCAGCUUGUUGGUGAGGUAAUGGCUCACCAAGGCUUUGACGGGUAGCCGGCCUGAGAGGGUGACCGAUCAACCUGGGCCUGGGACACUACCCAGACUCCUACGGGAGGCAGCAGUGGGGAAUAUUGGACAAUGGGCGGAAGCCUGAUCCAGCAACGCCGCGUGAGUGAUGACGGCCUUCGGGUUGUAAACCUCUUUCAGUACCGACGAAGCGUGAGUGACGGUAGGUACAGAAGAAGGACCGGCCAACUACGUGCCAGCCGCCGCCGUAACAC